rnacentral:rRNA from 1 species
GCAAGUCGAGCGGUAAGGCCCCUUCGGGGGUACACGAGCAGCGAACGGGAGAGUAACGCGUGGGUAACCUACCCAGAAGUGGGGGAUAGCUCCGGGAAACCGGGGGUAAUACCGCAUGUGCUUUGGUUGACACAAGUCGACCUUUGAAAAGGAGGGGAUCUUCGGACCUGUCGCUUCUGGAUGGGCCCGCGUCCGAUUAGCUAGUUGGUGGGGUAAUGGCCUACCAAGACGUCGAUGGGUAGCCGGCCUGAGAGGGUGAAC